rnacentral:lncRNA from 1 species
UUUUACAUUAUAUCCUACAAUAAUGUGCUGUGUGUUUUGGUUUGCAGUUCUUUUAAAUUAUAUAGUAUUUCAGAAUAUGCUUAAAAUAUUUAAGAACCUGUUUUCUAAAUGUAUAGUACUUUAUUGUUGUGUUGAUCAGUCGCUCAGCUAAAUGGUAUUAUUAGAAUGCUCUGCAGUCGAUGAACCUUGGCUCUGCCAUAUUGUCAAAUGAGCAUCUACCAUUUAGGGUCAACUCAACACAUCUCCUCCCUCUUGUCUCUGUAUUCUGUUACUGACAUGUGCUUUCUUCCUAUCCAGUUAACCAGCAGGGUGGAGUAUCAGAAAAACCCAGAUUUUCAGUACUGCACAGCAGACUUUUGCUAACUUACCAUUAAAAAAUCUUAUGUCCCUUAACAGGUGAUUGUUAAAAAAAAAAAAAGAAAAAAAAAAAAAACCAAUAAACUGGGCAUUGGUGGUGAACACCUUUAAACCUAGCUCUUGGGAGGCAGAAGCAAUCUGAUCUCUGAGCUCAAUCAAGGGCAGCCAGGGCAACACAGAAAAAUCCUGUCUCAAUUUCCCACACCACCAAAAGAGAAAAACUCAGAUAGUAUUCAAAUUACAUUUGCUUUUAUGAGAUGAGGAGAUGUAGUUUAAGUUGAAAUAAUAAAUGACCAUUUUCCUUAUCCUUCAUAAAAUAUAUCACCCUGACCUCCACUUCCUCUUCUCUCUUCCCAUUCUUAAAUAGAGAGAGCCCAAUUUCAUUCUGUUGAACAAGAAAGGCCAUGUAUUAACUGAUCAAGACCAAGUCAUACUGUGUUGCAUUGAGCUUAAAGCAAGAAAACUUGGGAUUUGGAGUAAGGGGGCCGGCAAAGAUCACUGAUGGCUUUAAAAUCUGUAGAAUGGUCUUUUUGAACCUGGCUGUCAGAACAUCGCUGGUUUGUUUUCUACUUUGGCGAUAGUCAGCACAAGACUGAGGCAAAUUCAGUCUUAUUUGCCAUUUGCCACUUCUUUGGUCCAAACCCAAUUUCCACUGGCAGCUUUCUCAUUAAACUAAAUGUUUAGGAAGAUUGUUCAUUUUAUAUAGUCCUGACGGAUGAAAGACUCAGUAGUGUUGGUGUCUGUGUGGUCCUAUUUGUAUACAAGAUCGUGUGGCUGUAAAGCAAAGUUGGAUCUUGAUUUUAUACUUCAAACAGCACGGGUUUGUUCUUCAGGGGCUGCUUAAGCUUGCGGGGUUCACACCUUUGAGAUGUGAAUUUGAGGGACUGCACAUAGGAAAAUGCAUACGGAUGUAUAAAACUCACCAAGAAUGUCUUUCUGGCCUGCUCAAGACCCUCUGUUACAAUGUAGGGCUACACAGACAAAACUUCCUUCUCCAACAAAGCUCCAGAUACUCCAAGAGCAUUAAAAAUCUAUCAGAAGGAAUUGUUUGUUUCACUUUGGAAACAGUAGGGAGGCAGGUGGGCACCUGGCUUGAAUCUGGUAUUAAAGUUGGUUUGGUUUGUUUUUUUCUGAGGUCCUGGGUUGUGAAUACCUAUUUGUAAAGGUGGGGAAGCUAGUAACGGAGGUUGACACUAAGGUUUGCCAUUCCUGAAAUUCAACAACGGAAAGUGAAGUAGAAAUGAGCUGUUUGUGGAGUGCUGCUGACCCUCUGUAGUGUUUGUACAGUGUAUUAUACAUUAGCUUUCAGGGCUCACUCAGGUUCUAAGACUCCUUAACUACUAACUUAAUUCAGAUAGUUUAAAACAGGUGUUGUCUAUCAGUGUAGAAGAUUAACUAUUGCUACAGAAGUUUCCAUAAUUCCAUUGAAAAAUAAUUGUUAAAUUUGUUGCCAAAAUUUCAUGCUAGGUUCUGGCUUGAUUUAUGUUUGUGGGAGUAAAAACAGAAUUCAUUGUUUUACCUGACCAGCCCAUUGCUAACUCCAUAGCACAUGCACGGGAAGAUACCGUGGCGCGCCGAUGCUCAGCUGUGAUCACUUCAUUUCUAAGUGUUUUAAGUGGGGAGCAAAGUACAUGUUAAAAGCAUGUUGCAUUAGAUAUAAAUUCAGUUUUUUAAACUCUUACCAAUGUAAGAACUGCAGAAAUAUUUUUCUUAAACCUAAUAUGUAACAGAGUCCUCCACUCUGCAGUUUAUGUGACCCACAGUUUUAAAGCAAUUCCAUAAAUGUAUAUUUUGUAUUAUGUACUGUUUCCUGGUCCAAAGAAAAAUCUGUGAACUCAGUUC